rnacentral:rRNA from 1 species
AUUGAACGCUGGCGGCAGGCCUAACACAUGCAAGUCGAGCGGUAGCACAGAGAGCUUGCUCUCGGGUGACGAGCGGCGGACGGGUGAGUAAUGUCUGGGAAACUGCCUGAUGGAGGGGGAUAACUACUGGAAACGGUAGCUAAUACCGCAUAACGUCGCAAGACCAAAGUGGGGGACCUUCGGGCCUCAUGCCAUCAGAUGUGCCCAGAUGGGAUUAGCUAGUAGGUGGGGUAAUGGCUCACCUAGGCGACGAUCCCUAGCUGGUCUGAGAGGAUGACCAGCCACACUGGAACUGAGAUACGGUCCAGACUCCUACGGGAGGCAGCAGUGGGGAAUAUUGCACAAUGGGCGCAAGCCUGAUGCAGCCAUGCCGCGUGUGUGAAGAAGGCCUUCGGGUUGUAAAGCACUUUCAGCGGGGAGGAAGGCGGUGAGGUUAAUAACCUCAUCGAUUGACGUUACCCGCAGAAGAAGCACCGGCUAACUCCGUGCCAGCAGCCGCGGUAAUACGGAGGGUGCAAGCGUUAAUCGGAAUUACUGGGCGUAAAGCGCACGCAGGCGGUCUGUCAAGUCGGAUGUGAAAUCCCCGGGCUCAACCUGGGAACUGCAUUCGAAACUGGCAGGCUAGAGUCUUGUAGAGGGGGGUAGAAUUCCAGGUGUAGCGGUGAAAUGCGUAGAGAUCUGGAGGAAUACCGGUGGCGAAGGCGGCCCCCUGGACAAAGACUGACGCUCAGGUGCGAAAGCGUGGGGAGCAAACAGGAUUAGAUACCCUGGUAGUCCACGCCGUAAACGAUGUCGAUUUGGAGGUUGUGCCCUUGAGGCGUGGCUUCCGGAGCUAACGCGUUAAAUCGACCGCCUGGGGAGUACGGCCGCAAGGUUAAAACUCAAAUGAAUUGACGGGGGCCCGCACAAGCGGUGGAGCAUGUGGUUUAAUUCGAUGCAACGCGAAGAACCUUACCUGGUCUUGACAUCCACAGAACUUAGCAGAGAUGCUUUGGUGCCUUCGGGAACUGUGAGACAGGUGCUGCAUGGCUGUCGUCAGCUCGUGUUGUGAAAUGUUGGGUUAAGUCCCGCAACGAGCGCAACCCUUAUCCUUUGUUGCCAGCGGUUAGGCCGGGAACUCAAAGGAGACUGCCAGUGAUAAACUGGAGGAAGGUGGGGAUGACGUCAAGUCAUCAUGGCCCUUACGACCAGGGCUACACACGUGCUACAAUGGCAUAUACAAAGAGAAGCGACCUCGCGAGAGCAAGCGGACCUCAUAAAGUAUGUCGUAGUCCGGAUUGGAGUCUGCAACUCGACUCCAUGAAGUCGGAAUCGCUAGUAAUCGUAGAUCAGAAUGCUACGGUGAAUACGUUCCCGGGCCUUGUACACACCGCCCGUCACACCAUGGGAGUGGGUUGCAAAAGAAGUAGGUAGCUUAACCUUCGGGAGGGCGCUUACCACUUUGUGAUUCAUGACUGGGGUGA